UACGGAGGGUGCAAGCGUUAUCCGGAUUCACUGGGUUUAAAGGGUGCGUAGGUGGGCAGGUAAGUCAGUGGUGAAAUCUCCGGGCUCAACCCGGAAACUGCCAUUGAUACUAUCAGUCUUGAAUAUCGUGGAGGUAAGCGGAAUAUGUCAUGUAGCGGUGAAAUGCUUAGAUAUGACAUAGAGCACCGAUAGCGAAGGCAGCUUGCUACACGAGUAUUGACACUGAGGCACGAAAGCGUGGGGAUCAAACAGG
rnacentral:rRNA from 1 species